GUAAAGGCUAACCUCUGUCCUAGAGAUGAAAUUCCAACCAGAGCUGGACAAAGCACAAAUCAUGUGGAGAAGAAUCUCAAGUUACAAGAAUGUGCCCAGUGGCACUGAGAACACUGCCAAUAACUGCUUGAGAGCCUACAGGAUCGCCAGACUUAUGAAAGCUGCAGUGCUCAGUGCUCCUGCUUGCUGCUUCCAUCAGCAUCUCUGGAUACGCACUGUUGCUCUGCUAGGUCAUUGCUCUGUUUCUGAGUUUGAGAGAUCCCUGCCUCCUACAGCACAAGGCUACAGAGCCAAGGGUACAGAGUUGUUGCCAUGAAAGCUGCAUUGCUGUGCAUUGAAAUCCUGCUGGAAUUUUGGAACGCAGCCCUUUCAGAAGGAAAGUUUUGACAGUGAAAUAUUUAAUGGAUUUCA